rnacentral:rRNA from 1 species
GACGUAGGGGGCCAGCGUUGUUCGGAAUUACUGGGUGUAAAGGGUUCGUAGGCGGUGCGGCAAGUUGGGAGUGAAAUCUCUGGGCUUAACCCAGAGGCUGCUUCCAAAACUGCUGUGCUUGAGUUUGGGAGAGGGAUGCGGAAUUCCAGGUGUAGCGGUGAAAUGCGUAGAUAUCUGGAGGAACACCGGUGGCGAAGGCGGCUCUCUGGACCACAACUGACGCUGAGGCGCGAAAGCUAGGGGAGCAAACAGGGAUUAGAACAUCCAGUAGU